UCCAAAUGCCCAAUACACUUACAGAAAAAUGCCUAAAGGCAGUACUAGGACGCGAGAGUUGGAUGUUAACUAUAUUUUAACAUCUUCAAUGAUCAAUCACAGCGUGACAAGACAAGAUGGCUUUUUCUUUCAAUCAAGAACCUCUGCUGAAUUCUGAGGGCACAGAACAGUGAGGGAGCCCCAUCCUGCUCUGUAGACCAUUAAGAACAAGGACUGGAGUAUCUGGAGGAAAACCAAGUGUGAUCCACCCACUCGUCAUCCACUGAUGUGUCUAGUCCAGAUGUGCAUGACCUACACUGUUUUCUU